GCUUUAUACUUUUAUAACGUAUAAGAAAAACGCGACGAGGAUUAUUGAGCCAUUCAAUAAUUUAUUAUCCAGUUUGAUAACUGACUUAGCAAAGUCAAGUUAUUAAUUUAUAUGCGAUAGAAAUAGUAUUUCUAUUAUUUACUUGAAGUCGUGAUUAAUUUUCGACUUAUAAAACGAAUUAUAAAAUAUGUAAUUCGUAGAGAGUUAUAACGAAGCGUCGUUAUUUAGUAGAACCCAAUAUUAGUUUUACAAAUACUUGUAACUUCAAUACUUUACAAAUCAUUAUUUUUCCACUCCCUAAUGUUUCCUACACUAUAUACGCAUCCACUCCACCAAAUUACAUCAUACCUACCUCCCCACCACUACUUUACUUUUCCCCCACCACAUUAGUGCACCACCAUCUCCACUACCUAUGCUCCCCACCAACUUCAAAAAAACUUCACCCAUUCCUUCCAUUUCGCACCAGCAAUCAUAAAGAAAAGGAAGACUUGGCUUAACUAUUUUGCCAAGAUUUCAAGCUGCUCCAGUCCAGUAGUACCCCAACACUCCGGCAGUGUUUUGCAAGGCGAUUUCAGCAAUCCAAACGGUUCCCAAAAAUUCUCAAAUUAAUUGUGUAUCAUCUUUCAUAUGUUUUCUAUACUUUGGUAAAAUUUCAGAAGGUUUGAAGCUCUUAUGAUUUAUUUAUGAAUUUGUAAACAUCACUGCCCAUCUGGAAUACAUUUUUGGUAAACAAUCUUUGGGAGGCCAUAAGUAAAGUUUCAAUCGGUGAAAACCUUUGAAACUUGAAUAUGUCACUCUAGACUCCCGUAUCUUUCUUUUGAAAUCGGCCUCACCAUUUUUGAGUAAGGGAAACAACCGGUAUAAAUUCUUGAAAUCUAGUUCUUAUUCCUUGUACCAUCCAGUAGAUUUUACAAACCUACGACUUUGAGGUGGCAAAUACCGACUUAAAUCUUUGAUUCUCAAGCCUAUCUUUCUACUGAAUAUUCACUGACAUGUUGGGAACUUACUUGUUCAGUUUUAGAAUUUUUGGUGAAGCCUAAAGUGGUUUUUCCGAUUUAUGUUCUGAAUCUGCCAAACUUGAACUCUUUUUGUGCAUUGAACUUUAGAUAGUCAUAUCUUCUAAACCAUGAAUGUUCUUAGAGUAAAUCCAACUGGAGAGUGUUAUGAUCUCUCCCUAGUUUCCAGAUUGACCCUUGGGGUUCCCAGUGGAGUUUUGUAAAGGGAGAUAUGAAUUUUUAAAGAAAGCCCACUGACUUGGUUGUAAUCUGGAAAUCUGAAAUUUUCAGAUUUUUGCUUGUUAAAUACCCAUCUUUGAGAGGGCAUAUCUUGCUCGUUUGAAUUGUUUUUCAUUCGAUUCAAAUUGAAGAAUGAUCCUUGAAAUGUCUAGUUUCCAGAAUGUCUUUUGGAGCCUCAUUUGGAGAUCCGAGGCAGAUUUGGUGUCUGUUGCAAAAUAACCCCUUAAGAGCUCAAGUUGUUGAAUUAUUUUCUAUGUAUCAAAGUUUAUUUUAAAGGAUGUUUCAUGAAAGAUUUAGUAUAUGUGCGUAACAAGUUUGGGACUAUUUAUUUUAAAUGAGGUCCGUUCUUUAUUUAAAUUAUGAUGGACUUUUAAUGAAUAUUUUUGGGAUUAAAUUCUUAUUUCUGGAUUUAUAUAAAUUAUUAUUUUUAAGGACUUAUAAAUAUGAAUUUCGUAGGCCUACUGACCUACUGUGAUCGACGGUUUGUCGAUGUCUAAUAGCUUUGAAAAGUUUAUAGCAAGUCCCGACAUGAGUCUUGAGUACCCUGGUAAAAUUUCAAGCCAUUCCAACUUCGUUUGAUACUUCUUUAAAAUGCAAAACCUAAACUGCACAUUACUACCGAGAAUUUCAGAGAACAGAUGAAAGAGUCAUUUAUUUCAGUAGCUUCCUGUGUGAUCUAGCUUUCCAAAUUUUUAUGGUAUUCACCUUAUUGUGUUAGCUAGAUAUCCACCAAAGUUGAGCCCAGUUUGACAACGUUUACUAUUUUUAAAAAAUCCAAGUUUUCGAUUGUUCAAAACUGCCGAACAUGGUAGAUCGUGGUAAAAACGUCAUAUCUCUCAAACCACUUGGAGUUUUCGACUCUACUUUUUUUAUAUGAAACUAGAUUCGAAGAUCUUUCUUUCAGUAUGAGUCUCGAGUCCAGGAGAUGUCGGAGUCAGAACAGAUUAAAUUUUGAAGUUGAGUCAGUGUAAAAACAGAGCAUGUUUUAAUGAUGUUUUUGGACUUCGGACUUUAAAGCGAACUAUUAUCAUUUAUUUCUUUAAAGCCACUGGUUUAUUUAAUUAAUUGGCUACUCUCUUUUGAGCCUAUUAAUUAUUUGAGGUUACGCUAGUAAUGAUGUAACGAAUUAUGGAUGCUAGAACCCUAAAACACUAAAAGAUACCAUAGGCACGUAGAAUUAGACUUUGUCUUAUGACAAUUACUUCACGAACUUAUCGACUCUUCAUCAAUGAAGGUCCGGGCGACAGAAAGUGAAGCCGAAGAAGAAACGACUCCACGCCAGCUUUAAGAACAAUUGAGGUUGAGCUGUGAUGGGCGAUGAAGUGUUGUUGCUGAGUAGAGCUUUUGUCGAACUUAAAGUAGGCUCAGAAAGGAUACAUGUCUUCAUACAUGUAUCUCAGUUAUGCUUUCCGCUGUAAACACUGAUUUUUUUUUAGUUACACCUUCCGUUGCAAACUCUGAUAAUGUUUUAGCCAAGCCCCUAACGAUGCCUUUUUCCUUUUAAGGAAUAUAACGCGUAUACAAGUUCUUUGAGUACCCUUUUUAUGCGACCUAUGCCUUUUUCCUUUUUAAGGAAUAUUUCACGCGUAUUCAAGUCCUUUGAGUAUUCUUUUAUGCGCCCCUUUCUCAACCCGCUUCUUAAUUUCCCUUCCCCAGUCAUGGUUUUCCCGGAUUAAUUAUCCUUAAUUAAGGCCGGUCGUGACAGAGUGGUAUCAGAGCAGUUCGUUUGCUCUGAGCCUAAGAGUUUAUUUAAGCCAAACUUAGAAUGGAUCACUAAAGUGUCUAGAGUUCAAUCGACAAAGCUCAGCACUUCAUCGUAUCACACUCAACGAAGCAGAAUGGUAUGCUCUUCCAAGUUUUGAGUUAAUGUUUACAAAAAGUGAAAAUUAUCGUAAUAGCAAAGUGAGUAACUGUUAAUAACUAUAUUAUGUUGUUAUUGAAUGAAAUGAUUUACGCAAGCGCGAUUAAGUAUGCCUAUGGAAUGAAUCCCUAUGAACAUAGAGCUAUUAAGAUAUGAGAUCACACUACGACAGAACAUAGAAGCAAACAUAGAAAAAAAUUAGAUUGUAUCUUUUGGUGGCUAUAGUGAAGGAAGCAAGAUAAGUGAUACGUAUAGAAAAAAAUUUUCUUAAGCUGAUGAUAUUAUAGCCACUAUAAAUCUCCAUGACUUAUGCUUAAGUAUCCAGUUUAGAUGAUGUGAUAAUAUAUGCUUAAGGAUUGUUAUGACUCAUAGAUUUGAGAUGCUAAGGACCCUUAAAGCUUACUACAUCAAUGAUCAAUGAUGUCAUUGGAGUCAUGACUUGUUUACAAGUUAUAUUAAGUUGACAUUUACAAGAAUUCUUUUGAGGCUUGUAUUAGAUUAUGCUAGAGUGUACUAAUUGGCACAUCUUUGCUAUCAGAAUGCCGCCUAAGAGAGGACGCCCUGCGAAAAACAAUAACAAUCGCAGAAACCGUAACGCUGUACCCGAAGAACCACAAGAUGCUCGAGGACAUAACCCAUCCCCUCCGCCUCCGACUAGGAGAGUCGAAGAACUCUUUUUAAGGCAAAAUCCACCUACAUUUGACGGAACGAGUGAACCGGCUGAAGCUGAGAUUUGGGUGCGUGCAAUAGAACGCAUUUUCAACUUUCUACGUUGUACUGAUGAGGAGCGCCUAUCUUGCGUCUCUUUCCAACUAACAGGGUCGGCUGACUUCUGGUGGGAAGCACGACGAAAAAUUCUGACACCUGAACAAUGGGCAAGUUAUACUUGGGAAGAUUUUAAGACAGGAUUAUAUGAUAAAUAUAUUCCGAAAAGCUAUAGGAAGAAAAAAGAAGCUGAGUUCUACGAGUUAAAGCAAGGAAAGAAAUCUGUGGUUGAAUACGACAAGGAAUUCUGCAACCUGUCUAGGUUUGCUCCGCAACAAGUGGACACAGAUGAGAAGAUGGCAGAGAAAUUUUGUGCCGGUCUGCGACACGAAAUUAGGAUGACUCUAGCGAGCCACGGAGGACUCUCAUAUACGGAGUCUCUGAACAGGGCACUUGACAUUGAAGCUGCAAUGCCGUCAGACAAGUCAGCCCCACCAUUGAUCUCAACGCCAAACGACUUACUAGGAGCCUCACAUACUCUCAAAAGGAAGCGCAAGUGGGACAGCAACGAAGACAAUAUCAAUCAGACUAGUAAGAAAGUGUGGCAAGAAAAGGAACGGGCUGAACAGUUUAUUCAACCAAGGUACGAGGCACAGACUAACCUCGAGCCAACUAGAGGUAACCAAGGUCAGAAAGGAAUUUCACCUUGCCCAAAUUGCGGUAAGAUGCAUAGGAGUGUUUGUCGAGCUGGGACUAACGGUUGUUACAAUUGUGGCCAAAAAGGUCACUACUCCACGCAAUGCCCCAACAGACAACGAGGUUCAGCAAUUGGGAACAUCCAUACCCCCUUGCCAGCAAUACGUGGACACUUGCGAAAUCAGUUUCAAUCACAUCAGUGAAAAUCUUAUGGAGGCACCGCAGAUAUAAAAAAAAAAUUACGUGGGAGUUUGAAGACAAAAUGAAAGAGAAGUACCCGGAUUGUUUUAACAGAGAUAUGCAAAUUUCGGGACGAAAUUUUUGUUAAGAGGGGUAGUAUGUAGUAGCCCGCUCUUUUAUUUAUGAUAAAAACUAGUAAAUGCAAUUUUUAUAAAUGAAUCCAGUUUAUGGUCCUGAUUUUUUUUUUAUCAGAGACGGAGUUAUUAUUUUAGCUUUAUACUUUUAUAACGUAUAAGAAAAACGCGACGAGGAUUAUUGAGCCAUUCAAUAAUUUAUUAUCCAGUUUGAUAACUGACUUAGCAAAGUCAAGUUAUUAAUUUAUAUGCGAUAGAAAUAGUAUUUCUAUUAUUUACUUGAAGUCGUGAUUAAUUUUCGACUUAUAAAACGAAUUAUAAAAUAUGUAAUUCGUAGAGAGUUAUAACGAAGCGUCGUUAUUUAGUAGAACCCAAUAUUAGUUUUACAAAUACUUGUAACUUCAAUACUUUACAAAUCAUUAUUUUUCCACUCCCUAAUGUUUCCUACACUAUAUACGCAUCCACUCCACCAAAUUACAUCAUACCUACCUCCCCACCACUACUUUACUUUUCCCCCACCACAUUAGUGCACCACCAUCUCCACUACCUAUGCUCCCCACCAACUUCAAAAAAACUUCACCCAUUCCUUCCAUUUCGCACCAGCAAUCAUAAAGAAAAGGAAGACUUGGCUUAACUAUUUUGCCAAGAUUUCAAGCUGCUCCAGUCCAGUAGUACCCCAACACUCCGGCAGUGUUUUGCAAGGCGAUUUCAGCAAUCCAAACGGUUCCCAAAAAUUCUCAAAUUAAUUGUGUAUCAUCUUUCAUAUGUUUUCUAUACUUUGGUCCGGGCGACAGAAAGUGAAGCCGAAGAAGAAACGACUCCACGCCAGCUUUAAGAACAAUUGAGGUGGGCAAUUUCUUACGCGUAAAUAAAAUGCUAUGCAAGUGUUAUGCUUUAAAAUGCAAAUUGGAUCUUCAAGUAUGGUAUGCUUUAUUACGCUUAAAUGAGUUAAGCUUUAUUAUGAUGCACGUUAAAUGAUUACGCUUAUUUACGCUUGAAUGCUUUACGCUGAUAAGUUUAUGCUUAUGUUUGAUGCUUGCGUCUGUUGGGGGAGGCCUCCCUCAACAGUACGAUGCCGUGUCCGCUGAGGAGGGCCUUCCUCACGGCGCGAUGCCCGUGUCCGCUGAGAGAGGCCUCUCUCGCGGCGCGAUGCCAAUAUGCCAGUGUUACAGCGUCUAUUGGGGGAGGCCUCCCUCAAUAGUACGAUGCCGUGACCGCUGAGGGAGGCUCCCCCUCACGGCGUGAUGCCCGUGUUCGUUGGGGAAGGCCUUCUCCACGACACGAUGUUUGUUAAUGAAGAUUGAUGAUGAAGAAUGCCCUUAUGCUAUUUAAGAAUUUGGAAAUGUUUAAUGAGAAAAGGAUAUGAAAGAAACUCAUGCCUCUUAUGCGAUAUUGUGAAAUUGUUAAUAAUGUUAUGUUAUAUGCUUGGCAACUGCCCACUAAGUACUCUUGUACUUAGCCUUUCGAUGUUUAUGUUUGUGCAAGUUGAGCUGUGAUGGGCGAUGAAGUGUUGUUGCUGAGUAGAGCUUUUGUCGAACUUAAAGUAGGCUCAGAAAGGAUACAUGUCUUCAUACAUGUAUCUCAGUUAUGCUUUCCGCUGUAAACACUGAUUUUUUUUUAGUUACACCUUCCGUUGCAAACUCUGAUAAUGUUUUAGCCAAGCCCCUAACGAUGCCUUUUUCCUUUUAAGGAAUAUAACGCGUAUACAAGUUCUUUGAGUACCCUUUUUAUGCGACCUAUGCCUUUUUCCUUUUUAAGGAAUAUUUCACGCGUAUUCAA